UCAGUUCGGAUCGGAGUCUGNAACCCGACUCCGUGAAGCUGGAUUCGCUAGUAAUCGCGCAUCAGCCAUGGCGCGGUGAAUACGUUCCCGGGCCUUGUACACACCGCCCGUCAAGCCAUGGGAGCCGGGGGUGCUUGAAGUGCGUCGCCGCAAGGCGCGCCCUAGAGCAAAACCGGUGACUGGGGCUAAGUCGUAACAAGGUAUC
rnacentral:rRNA from 1 species